GGGUGAGUGAAAAAGCGGAGAGUGCAAAUAAAUGGGGAGAAGCCUGGCCUAAAUUCUAAUCCCGUUGCCAACAUCUGGCCGGGAGUAAAAUUGUUCUGAGGAGGCUAAUCUCGUUUAUAGCGCUCCUGAGCUCCUGGCUGAUUAUUUUUAACCUGCGCUGAAGGAGGUUCCCUAGGUAUUGAGUUGCUGGAGUGUGUUGACCCUGGGAACAGAGAGUUGCACAGAUAGUCCUGUGUUGUCUGUGUAGCAAACAUACGUGAUGUAAAUUAAAGUUGGGACAUCAGUCACUGAGUUUCAAGAAGCGAUAACACCCAGAUGGCACUAACAACGUGUUCCUAGCAAGGAUUUUGACAGGAGCCUGGCUUGCUACCUGUUCUGAAGGCUUCAAAGUGGUACAUGUUGCAUAAACCUUGCCCUGUCCCUAAACAAAGGGGGCCAAAGCCAAAGGGGGAUUUGGCUUGACUGGUGUGAGAUUCGCAGGACACAUGCCCACGCGCCGUGUAACAUGUCCCGUUGCUCAGUCCGCCUUGCCCACCGCAGUCCUGCCUUCUCGCGUUACGGAGCUGCAGGUAGGUCUUGCCAUGUGCUUCUGCUGUUAUUCAUCUCCGGACACUCAGGGGAUGGGGUUUAAAUGUUCAUAGCUGUGACAGAUCAGAACAGCAGUCUCUGUUGUUUUUUUUUUUUUUAAUUUGGCUUUUUUGUUUUGUUUUCUGCUAUGUUUAAGUCUAAUCUAGGUCAGGGCUCCCACAGUAUGGCAUACUCUUUGGAGCUGGCCCUGUUGCUUUGCUCUGUAUCAGUAUGACAACUAGUACAGUCCUGGAAGAAUGAAUAAUCAGAUCAUAAUUUAAGCCCUACUUUUUUUUUUUCUUUCUUUCUUUAAAUUAGAAUCGUGUUUAUUCUCUACCCUUCUUCCCAAGUACAUCAGAUGAUCAAGUUCUCCUUAAAUUUUACAAAAUUAGAUAAUCCAACCCUAAGACAUACUUAACCAUGGAUUUCAGACCAAAAAAUGGAAGUUCUGGAAAUGUAAGUUUUGCACUGCAUGAACAACUGAAAUGGAAAUUCUCAAGCAAUCUUAACUGCAGUUACCUUGUAAGGUGCUAUUUAAUGCAGUGCUUGUCUUGCAACCAUUUUGAAUAAUUCUGGUUACUCGUUUAUGCUAAUAAUCAGCUGUAUUUUCUCUGUUAGCCUUUAUCCCAACAGAAACUACAGCCAGAAGAAUCCUCACAUGAUCAGUUCCAUCCCACCCUUUCCUCCAUCCCCAAAUACGUCAGCUUAGAAAACAAGGUACAAGUUUGCAACUCUCUUCUACUUCAUCUGGAACAAGAUUCAGUAGGGGCUUUGCUGUUUCUUUGGUCAGACCUUUCCCACUUUGCAUAAAUAAAUAUUCACUACAGUACGGACUCCAGUCUUGGUUUUCCACCCUCUGAUGACCUGAAUUAAAGUGGCAGAGAGACCUUUUGCCUUGGUGCUGUUUUAUGCAAGGCCUGUGAAGUAUGGUCUGGGAUUGCCUGCUGCCGAAGGCCAAGAAGCACGAAACAUGCUGGUGUCAGGAUUUUGGUUGAGAGGCCAGCUCAACUCAGCACUGGAAGCACAGGUGAUACCACUAGUAGUCGCAGUUUUGGUGACACUGACCUAUGUAUCGCUUCACAGUGGUUUGCGUUCUGCUGGCAAGAGAAAUGUUGCACCAGUGGGCAGAA